CUUCAGCGAGCCCAGCCACAGCGGUCGGUCCUCUGUGCGCCCCUGCCCGUACGUCGCGAUCAGCGCUUGCGCCUC
rnacentral:antisense_RNA from 1 species